rnacentral:rRNA from 1 species
UGAUGCAGCCAUGCCGCGUGUGUGAAGAAGGCCUUCGGGUUGUAAAGCACUUUCAGUUGUGAGGAAGGUUGUGUGGUUAAUACCCACAUAAUUUGACGUUAGCAACAGAAGAAGCACCGGCUAACUCCGUGCCAGCAGCCGCGGUAAUACGGAGGGUGCGAGCGUUAAUCGGAAUUACUGGGCGUAAAGCGUACGCAGGCGGCUAAUUAAGCCAGAUGUGAAAUCCCCGGGCUUAACCUGGGAAUGGCAUUUGGAACUGGUUAGCUAGAGUUUUGUAGAGGGUGGUAGAAUUUCAGGUGUAGCGGUGAAAUGCGUAGAGAUCUGAAGGAAUACCAGUGGCGAAGGCGGCCACCUGGACAAGAACUGACGCUCAUGUACGAAAGCGUGGGGAGCAAACAGGAUUAGAUACCCUGGUAG